AGUGAUUAAAUGAUCAGCCCUCUUGAUUAUAUAGUAAGAACUUCAUUUCAUUCUUUUCUCAUGACUGAUCACUGGAAAAAAAUAUCCCCUCAAACUCUCUUUCUCUCCAAAAGAAAAGAGGUAAGUCUAUCAAACUUUCCUCCUUUCUAUACAAUCAUUGAUAACUGGAAUUCUCAUGAGCUCGUCUCCUUUCGAGAAAAGCAUUGGAAAACCACGCAGUAUGUUUCUGGAUUGAAUAUUCAUAACUGGUUAAAGUUUCCAUCGAAGUUAUUUCAAAUUUCUAUAUGGUAGUUUGACUUUUAUUAUCUAUACAUGUUGGAAAGCUCGAACACAUUAGGCGUUAUGUGGAAAGCAUCCAGUUUUUGAACUGAAGUUACUGAGAAGUUCACGCCUGGGUAGCAAAGGAAGAGUUCUUUUGUAAGCACAAGUUUUCAUGCACUUAGAUGUAUCUUCCUUUAUUAAAAUAUCCUUUUCAAUUGUUAUUUUUGUAACAAGACUUAAAUCUAGAUGGUUUGUCUAUUGUUAGUCGAAGUGAUCAUACCGAGUUUUCAACUAUUCUUAUCACUUGUAGAUUUAUAAUCUUGUAAAUUUGCUGGAAAAAUCAGUUUGCAUUUCUUGUGGGAAUAAAAUUUAGUGCAUUAUUUUCUGUAGUUGUUAGGUCUUGAUAAUCAGAGAGUCUACUUUACUUGUAUGAAGUUGCUAAUACUCCUGCAAGCCUUGAAUUAUCAAAAUCUAUUGCACUCGAGGUCAGACUCUUUACUCUAAUAGUUUUUAUUUCUUUUGAAGUUUCUAGUGUGAGAGGUUAAUAAGUUAGUGAUGGUGUUUGUGAUGUCUAACUACAGCUUAAGGAGUGAUGUUUCCUUCUUGUUGGUUGUUUAGAACGAGACAUGACGACUCUUGUUGUCUCUUUUUUCUUUCUUACUUUUUUGCGUUAGUUACAUUUCUUUUGAGUCAAAUGUCUAUUGAAAGAAACUUGUCUAUCCUACAAAGGUGUAGAGGUAAUGUCUUUCUACAUUCGAUCCCUCAUAUUCCAUUUGUGAGAUUACACUUGGAUAUGUUUUUGUAUAUAAUGAUAUCAUAACAUAUCAAAUUAUUUUUAUUUCUUUUAGACAGGUUGUGGAAGGUGGAAAUCGAGACUAGUGGCUAGUGAAGUGUUUUUGCAAUGGUAUUGUGAGAAGCAACCUCUAUUUUACUGCCUCAGUUUUGUUAACAUUUAGUAUAUCUUAGUUAGACUUUCAAGUUGGAGAAAUUUUACUUAAUAUAUUUUUUCUUAAGGGGAGCGUUGAGAUAUUAUAUCCUGAAUCUCAUUUUAGAUGUUCGUAAUUAAUAUAUGACAUUGUAAUAUUUUUUAUUA